AGAGUUUGAUCCUGGCUCAGGAUGAACGCUGGCGGCGUGCCUAAUACAUGCAAGUCGAACGAGUUCUGAUUAUUGAAAGGUGCUUGCAUCUUGAUUUAAUUUUGAACGAGAGGCGGACGGGUGAGUAACACGUGGGUAACCUACCCUUAAGUGGGGGAUAACAUUUGGAAACAGAUGCUAAUACCGCAUAAAUCCAAAAACCGCAUGGUUCUUGGCUGAAAGAUGGCGUAAGCUAUCGCUUUUGGAUGGACCCGCGGCGUAUUAGCUAGUUGGUGAGGUAACGGCUCACCAAGGCAAUGAUACGUAGCCGAACUGAGAGGUUGAUCGGCCACAUUGGGACUGAGACACGGCCCAAACUCCUACGGGAGGCAGCAGUAGGGAAUCUUCCACAAUGGACGCAAGUCUGAUGGAGCAACGCCGCGUGAGUGAAGAAGGCUUUCGGGUCGUAAAACUCUGUUGUUGGAGAAGAAUGGUCGGCAGAGUAACUGUUGUCGGCGUGACGGUAUCCAACCAGAAAGCCACGGCUAACUACGUGCCAGCAGCCGCGGUAAUACGUAGGUGGCAAGCGUUAUCCGGAUUUAUUGGGCGUAAAGCGAGCGCAGGCGGUUUUUUAAGUCUGAUGUGAAAGCCCUCGGCUUAACCGAGGAAGUGCAUCGGAAACUGGGAAACUUGAGUGCAGAAGAGGACAGUGGAACUCCAUGUGUAGCGGUG
rnacentral:rRNA from 1 species